rnacentral:rRNA from 1 species
AGUGUAGGCGGCUUCAUAAGUCGGAUGUGAAAGCCCUGGGCUUAACCUGGGAAUUGCAUUCGAUACUGCGCGGCUAGAGUCUGAUAGAGGGAAGUGGAAUUCCAGGUGUAGCGGUGAAAUGCGUAGAUAUCUGGGGGAACACCAGUGGCGGAGGCGGCUUCCUGGAUCAAGACUGACGCUGAGGCUCGAAAGCGUGGGGAGCAAACA